rnacentral:rRNA from 1 species
AGUGAACGCUGGCGGUAGGCCUAACACAUGCAAGUCGAACGGCAGCACAGUAAGAGCUUGCGCUUACGGGUGGCGAGUGGCGGACGGGUGAGGAAUACAACGGGAUCUAGUUUUUCGGGGGGGAUAACGAAGGGAAGCUUACGCUAAUACCGCAUACGAUCUACGAGGGAAGGGAGUGGAUCUUCGGACCUUGCGCGAUUGGAUGAGCCGAUGUCGGAUUAGCUAGUGGGGGGGGUAAAGGCCCACGAAGUCGACGAUCCGUAGCUGGUCUGAGUGGAUGGUCAGCCACCCUAGAGCGGAGCCAGGGUCCAGACUCCUGCGGGAGGCAGCAGUGGGCAACAUUGGACAAUGGGCGCAAGCCUGAUCCAGCCAUACGGAGUGGGUGAAGACGGCCUUCGGGUUGUAAAGACGUUUUGUUGGGAAAGAAACGCAGCAGGUUGAUACCCCGCUGUUCUGACGGUACCCAAAGAAUAAGCACCGGCUAACUUCGUG